CUAAAAAGGGAGAUGGUUCGUUGGUUAGAUGGAAAAGUACCAGAAGGGGAAAAAUUAGAAGUAUUGAGAGACUCGAUAAUAUAUUUGGUUGGAUGCGAGUAAAAACUGAUAAGGAUGUUAGAGAAAUGAUGUUUAGACCAGAUGACAUCAGUUUGAUUGUUGUAAUCAAUUAGAAAUGUUAUUUUUAAGUAUUACGGUUAAGUAUUUUCAUAUGUAUUCGAUAUUUGUUGUUUGUGUUGUUUAUUUAGACUUGUUCGGUU
rnacentral:lncRNA from 1 species